UUUGAGAUAAUUAUGAUUAAAAGAUGAACUUUGAUCAAUUAUUAAAAAUCACCUACACCUCACAAAAAUGUGAAACAAGUUGCAAUGGAUAGAUAAUAAUCAUCUUUAUUGCAUACUAUUUUUACAUUACAAGAAUUGGAUCACAAUCUGAUCACAGAAAAAUAAAAUGAAAAAUACAUCAAAAAUAGAAAAUGGAAGAUCCUAUUCUAUCCUAUCUAGUCUUUUGCUCCUUGUCUUCAUCUUGAAACCUGAAAUGCACAACAACAAAAGGAAGCAUAUUGUUAUUGUUAAAAUGUUUGGUCGGUCUAAGACCAACCAGUUAAUGUGGAAUCCAUAGGAUUAAUUUCAAAAACUUGUUUUGGAAUUAAAAUAGCCAGGGCAUGGCAAAUAAUUUUAGAAGAUCAUUUCCAAACCCAAUUGAAACCAGAACAUUAGUGACAAUAAAAAUAAGCAAGUAGACCAUCUAAAUGAUCUAGUAAAAUCUAAUUGUGAACAUUGAAGAAUUGAACCAAUAGUAGAACAGUAGGUUUAGAACAUCACAUCAUUCAUAAAUAAAUACCCAGAAUAUCAAUAUCAUCAAGGAUUAGCAAAAACCACUGAUUAGCAAAUGAAGUGCCCUGACUUGGAAACCAUUUUAAGAAUAGCAUUUAGCAAAAAUUUGAUCAUGCAAAGGAUCAUGUCCUUGCUAAUCAAAAUUAGCAAGUGAUUAACAAAUGCAACCAAUAAAAGUUUAACUUGAACACAGUAUUAACAUCAGUGCGUUGCACUGGACACAUCAGAACCAAAAUCCACAAUCAAAAGUCAGUAUACAACAAAGUCAUUAAUAAACAGAUUAGUAGAUUCAUGAAAAUCAUGUAUCUGCACUAGAAACCAAAAUAUAAGUCGGUUUGGAACAGUGCUCCAGCCCCAGCCUAUAAAUACCCCCUCCCACAACACAUUUCACUCACAAAAAUCUCAAAGCAGCUCAUAAAAACACCUUAGGGCCAGAGGCUAAAGGUUGAGCCCACAAACUCCAUAGCUUGAAAGCUUGGAGAGAGAUUAAAAGGGAAAGCUCACUUGUGAGUAGCCCACACAUUAGAACACACCAGUAGUAUAGCUAGAGGAAGAAGAAGAAGGCAAGAUCAGGGGAAGCAAGGAGGUGCUACCCAAAUCUACAUCAAGCGUUCUUUGAUAUCUUCAAAGGUUUAAAUUUUUAGCUUUUAUUUCUGCAAGAGAGGGAGUGAUUAGUAGCACACACUAUUCACUGGUUGUUGUGCAUCCUCCACAGAGGAACACCACAGCCAUGCCUAGUGAAAAGGGCACAACCAUUAAAAUUUGGUGUGUGAGCUCAAGGAAGAAGAUGAAGUGGCAAUCACACACAGUGAUCACACACCUCAUAAUCCUUCUAUACAGCCCCUAUACACAUCAAAAUGGGGAUCAUAGAAUUAGUAAGAUUGUGGUAGUGGAAGUUUAUCCACUAAGUGUGAUAGUUGCAAGCUCUAAGAGAUGCAACAUAUAAUUGUAUAUUGAUUGAUAAUGAGCAUUCAAGCUCAACUGAGUGAUGUAUAUCAAAUAAAAACACCACUGUCAAUAACAGACAGAAGUGUCAUUAUUCAGUGAAGUGUCAAAUUUGAUGAGUUAAAUUGUUGCAAGUGUCUAUUGGAGUAAUGGCAAUUGUAUGUGCAAGUGUAUAGAUAUUAACCAGUAGUUAAUAUUCAUCAUAGAUAGCAUUUAGCAGAGCCCAUAGAAGCAAUAUGAGCAACUGAAUCUCAACACUGUCAAAAGUGUUAAAAUUCAGAAGCUAAGACUGCAGAUUAAAGCAGUCAAGUCUAGGUUGAUCUAGGAUUGAGCAUAGAGCAUAUAUAGCUAGGUUAAAGUUAAGCAAGACCACCACAAGUUCAUAAGCAGAGAGAUGCAUAUCUCUGACAGAACUGUCAAAGUUCAGUCAAGUAUUGCAAGUGUGAGCAGCAGAGCAAGUAAUCAACAGUAGUAGUAGCAGUAGUAUUCUAAGUGCAAGAUUAACACCAUAGAUCGUAGCUAAACCCCCAGCAAGCCAGCAUGACUGAAGAAAUUCUUCAGAAACCCUAGAAUUUUUCCCAAAGGGGAAAGCAGUGUAAGAGAUCGUUUGAUAGCAGUCAUGGCAGAGAGAGGAGUUGGGAGAGAGAGUGAAAAGGGCGGCUGAGCCACUUACCUGGACCAGCGUGGCCUAGCCACGGUGGCCGGAGAACGACGGAGCACGGUGGUGGUCGCCAGGACAGGGAACCCCAUGCCAGGGGAUACGACCUGUUCUGAAGCGAACAACAGCCGAAGGAGAGCGAGUAGCGGCCAGGGAGGCCGGCGAUAGAAUCAACCUCGUCGGAGACGAGGAAGACGCACGCCAUCCCGAACCCUAAUCCUCUAGGGUUAGUUGCGUGAGCUCCAGAGAGUGAGAGAGAGAGAGAGCGAUUAGCUAGGGGAGGUGAGAGAGUAGAGGGAGGCCAUCAGUUUGACGGCAGCGCCAUGGCCGGAGCUGGCCGGAGACGGCCAGGGCAGGGCGGCGGCGGCGCUGGCGACCGCGUCACCAUUGGCGUCGCGAGUGUGCGCGCGCGUGUGUGCGCGUGAGAGGGAGGGCGCGGUCUGGUUCGACCAGACCGGCGACCCGGUUCGGUCGGUUUGACCGAUUAGGUCAAGGACCUGUUUGUAAGAAAUUUAAGUCUAGGGACUUGUUUGUAAAUUGACCAUCUCUUUUCAUUUAAUAGUCCAAAAAUAUUGAAAAAUAUAUUUUUGGAAAUCUAAAAAUAUAACCUAUAAGGUUAUGUGAUUAGUUUGAAUUGUGUGAAUAAUUAUUUUAGAAGAUUAUUUUUGUUGAUACAUGUGGUGAAAAAUGAAUAUUUAUUAUUCAAAAUUCACAAAAGUAUUUUUCCUUCAAGGGAAAAAUUCUUAAAAACUAUUUGGUGUGUUGUGUGAUCUUUUGAAAACCAAAAUUUUAAUUAUGUCUUUUUAAAUGACCUGGGUAUUAUUAAAGUACCAAAAAGAAAACAAUAACAAGAAUAAUAUUUUCCAAGUUGGGAAUAUUAUUUUAAACUCAAAAAAUACUAUUUUGGAUAUGAAAAUAUUCAAGAUAAGUUAAUAUUGAAAUCAUAUCUAUGAAUUUCUUCCGAAAGUCUACAAUAUAUCCGUCUUUGCGGCAUAGAAAGAUUUUACAAAGUUUUGGCUAUCUGCGAUCCUUCCGGUGGCUCACUUGCUUAUCCGGUUGUUUGAUCAACGAUGUGCUUCAGUUUGAUGGAUCUUUUUAUAGCGAAGCAGUAUAUCCCUUGUGACUAAGGAGUUGAAUUCUACAUAUAUAUGAAAAUUCUAAAGUGAAAUCCAUAUGAAAAUUCUAAAGUGAAGUUCAUAUGAGCAACCUUAAUAAUCAACACACGGGAAAGGGUUUUCAAAACUAUUUCGCACAUAAUCUCUUAAAUGAUUUGGAUCUUAAAACAUUGUCUUCUACUUGGACAAUGACGAUUCUUCAGAACCCGAGCUCCAGGGUCAAGCAAAACCUUUGAACUGCAUUAUCCCGCAGUUUCCAGGCAAGUUCAUUGUUGGCAAGUUUAUUCUUGCUCAUGUCCAUUGAAUAUUUUCAGCAAUAUAAUUUUGCAUAGUAUUUCAUACCACUUGCAUUCAAAAUGCUUUUCAAAUAAAUUGAUGGAUGAUGGAAUCAUGGUAUGUUGUGCGAUCGGAGUAUCGUACGAUGGAGAUUCCAUUAUACCGGGAAUGAAUAGGAAAUUAAUAACAACUGUUAUCAGUCAUUCCAAAGCGCCGUAAAUCGCGCUGACCACAGAACUUGGUAUGGGACAAGCAAAUCAGAAGUUACUUCGGAGUUCCGUAUAUCCCCGGAGGCGUAGUCGGAUUGAUAUGCCAUUAGGGGAAAUCAAUGGGUGGGAGCCCAUGGUAAACGUCCCUACUCUGUGCUGCAGAGUAACGACUAUUGUCUUCUAGCUGAGAGGGUGAUUAAUGCGGGUCAGGGAUCCGUAUUGGUUACAAUGGGUGGGUUACGGAAUGAGGCGGUGCUCGGCAUGAUUUGGCUAUACUUGGUACCGGCCACAUACCUCAGGUAGUAUGUUAUUGGCAAGAGGGCCAAGGACAUUUGUGGGCAAACUAGCGCACCUCUGCAGAGUGUAUUGAAUUGUGACAUGUUACUCCCUAUUCCGGGAAGGAAUUGCGAAUGUCGCGUGGAAAGGAACUACGCAAAAGUUCUAACAACCCGUGAGGGAUGAUGGACAUAGAUUUAAUUAUUAAAACUUGAAUCACCAACAAAACCUUUUCAAAAACUUGCAUAUGUUUGGAUAUCUUUGAUUCCGAACAACUUUUUCAUUUAUCAUGAAACACCUUUUUAUCUAGAACUUGCUGAGUACGCCUGUACUCAAUCUAUCUUCGCAACCCUUGCUUUAGACUAUGAGAACAGCGAAGACUUGUCUGAGGACAAUGAAGAUCAAUUCUACGAAGAACAGGAUCUUUCCGGAGGUGUAGAAGGAGUAGACUACGGCAUAGUCUACGGUACUAGUGACGAGGAGCCCGAUGCUGAAGCGUAGAAUAUUAGUUCCACUAGUUGAGCUUGCAGCCUCGUAGAUAAAUAAGUUGCAAAUGCUCGCAAUGGUUUUAAGUCUUUUACUUCCAUUGCUCAUUAGAUUUUCUAGUUUGAAUUUGAAUUUGAAUGAGACUCCUCAAUGGACCGAGGAUGAUCUCGAAGCUUUUGUGCACUUUUGGUUGCUAUCCAUGAACACGUAAAGUUGCGGACCCGCAAUGUUUCUGUUGUACCAUUCUGAGGGAUGUGAUAUUUACGAAAGCGGACUUUUGUGAGUAUUUAUAUCAACGACUUGUACACUACAUAUGCAGUGGUGUACUGGGUCACCGCAGCUGGUAUCAGAGCAAUGCUUCGACCUUAGGUUGGACGACCUAGUAUAGGGAAUAGCCUGUAGGAGCCGAGUGACGUUAAGAUGAGAAUUCUCUAAGGACUAAGAUGGGUAUUCAAAUGAGAAUAUUCUGUCGAAUACUUAGUGCUAUAAUUCUUUUUCUUAGUUUAGCAAAUUUUUGCUAAAUUGUCAUGUUUUCUCUUAGCAGUCAGGAAAGAUGGGUGAAAUGCCUUAUCGAACCGUGGUUGUGACGAGAGCUAUUUAACUGACUAUCAUGGAGGACUAGAAGAAAUCCUGAAGCAGUUGUUAGUAGCAUGUAACUGUAUUCCAAAGGCACCCGUUAGAGAAUAUGCUCACUCUGACGGAAGGAUACCGGUGAAGUAUCGUGUUACCAUACAGUUACCGAGGGAGAUAGGUGGUGGGUAUCUUUUACCCUUUGGAGAGUCUAGGAUAGCGGCAGUUGCAAGGGAGAUUGCAUUUUUCGAGGAAAUUACUACGAUUCGUGGUUAUUGUACCAAGGAACUCGCGGGAAGUGUUUUCAUGACUAUUCCUUGCGGAGACUUUGAUGAAGCCUUGAAGCGGGAUCACGUCUCUUUUGUGAGAGAUAGUCCUGAGAUGACGGCAUGAUAUCUGGAUAGGUGCACGUCCUUGUUGGAAAUCUUUUAUCUGCUCCACAUCAACUUGGUCACAGACCAUGAGCAGUUACUAGAUGAUUUCUCAGACCAUGACGUGGUAUUGGAGAGGAGACGGCAAUAUGACAGAGGUGGAGUAUCAACAUGCACAUCCGCCGGAAGAGGAAGAGCCAAUGGAGGAAGAAUUAGAGGAGGAAUUGGGAGAUGGCAUAGUGGUUAAUGGAGUUGUGCCAGAGUCAAAUUUGGACACACCAACACCCUACGAGCCAAUACUAGCUAGGGAAGGUUACUACAUCAAUGAUAAUGGUUGGGAAGUACCCGAUUCGUUUCGAGAUAUAAUCCCUACUGGGUGGGGCACGGACGAUGAGGACUUACCUCAUUAUGAUGUUGAUCCAGAGCCAAGGGUUGGCAGAACCCAGUGGCAGGUGAUUGAUCUGAGCAAGUUGAACAUGCAAGAGCAUGAGGAGACGGAAGAGUCAAGGGCGGAAUAUGCUCUUUGUCUAGAGGCCUUAGAUGCAUGUCAGGAACCCCUUGUUUACAAAGACUGGGGAAGCGACAUUGAGAUGACACCACUUCCUUGUUUUUACAUGGAGGAUGGACGUCCUUAUUAUCCUGACAUGAAGCUAGAGGAUGAGCCAUGGGUACUCGAGUUUGAUGCAGAAGGUAGUAUGCACAUUCAAGAUAUUAUCGAGGGCCAGACAAGGUAGAAGAAAUGUGGCAAGGUUUAGAUAGCUUCUUUGCUGAAGAAGAUGCUAAGGUAAUGCCGAGAGGAACUCGGACUUACGAGACGAUUGAGCCAGUUGAGAUACCGAGCACUCUUAGAAGGUCUACUCGUUUCACGGGAUAUACUCCGGGAAAGUAUUACGAGAGUGACCGAACCUUCGCAAGCAGCUUCUAGAAGUCUUUUUAGGGAGCAUUAGGAAGAAGUUUAGUAGAGUAUUGCGUAUUGUAUGUGUGGGGUUUGUGAACCGAAUAAAUGAGCUUCAUCUCAAAUGUAUAUGUGUGUACAGAAGGCAUGUAUAUACAUGGUAUAUGUUCGUUUGCAAACCAUUGUGUCUGAAAUGUUUAAAUUAUGCAUCUAAGAUGAAGUGAAUGAUUUGCAACCAUUUGGAUUUUAUUUGGAUCUUGAGUUAUUGUGUGACUAGCACUAUGCAUUGAAAACGAACAACCCACUGUGCAUCUGCAUAAUGCAACAUGGUGUUCUGACGUAAGUGCAAUAGGUCUAGAGGUUAAUGUCCGCAAACCAAGUAGAGACCCAAAAUGAACGCUGAGAUAGGGAAACCCGACAGAAGGCAACGGUCGAGGUGGCCAAUCGAAGUCAAACCUCAACCGAUUCGCAGCCCUUGUCAGAGCAAAGUUUCAUGCGAUUUCUGCAAUUGGUGGAAGAAAGAAGGGACAGGACCAAGAAGUCCAAAAUAAGCUUAUGCACCAUGUCUUGUCGCAAAACCGUGACCAAGGACAAAAUAAUGGAGGACGAGGAGUGAGUCUAUCAGAUUUUCAAAAUACAAGACCACUUAUGUUUGCUUCAACCACAGAACCUAUGGAUGCCGAAGAUUGGCUAAGAGAUACUGAAAGAAAAUUAAAUGUCGUCGGCUGUAACGACGAGGAAAAACUGCGGUAUACAUCAUAUUUGUUAACAAGACCAGCAGCAACUUGGUGGGAGACUAUGCUAGCAAUGCAACAACCAGGGUCACUAGUUACUUGGACUGAAUUUAAGGAUAGGUUUCGUAGUACUCAUGUUCCUGAAAGUAUUAUGGAGCUUAAGAGACGGGAAUUUGAGAAUGUACGUGAGAAUGAUUCUCCGAUUCUCAGAUAUGUCCGGGAAUUCAGCAUGCUAUCUCGUUAUGCACCUGACGAGGUGGAUACUGAAGACAAACGGAUGAAGAGGUUCAUGAAAGGUUUGAACCCAUACAUGAGGAUGCAGUUGCGUUUAACUGGACACCGUAAUUUUCAAGAAUUAGUUGAUGCAGCAAUUACCUUGGAGGAUGAUUAUAAAGGUGUUCAAGAGGAAAGGAGGAAGAAAGCGCGAACAGAUCCAAAGCGUUUUCAAGAUCAGAAACCAACACCCAAUCUGACCUUUAAACCUAAACCGAGCCCGGGAAAUUUCAACCCUAAACCUAAUCCCAACAAGGGAAUCCCAAAUCCCAAGAGCAAUGUGAAAUGUCACAACUGUGGAGUAAAGGGACAUUACAAGUCAGAGUGCAGGCAAGCCAAAGUAAUUUGAUAUGGAUGUGGACAGCCUGGACACAUGAAACCUAAUUGUCCGAAUAAACAAAACUUUACACCACCAUCGGGCGGGAUACGACCAUCAAUAGGAACGGCAGCUUCCAGAGGAAGGAACCCUCGAGACAACAAAGGCAAGCCAUAUGGAAAGCUGAACUGUACCAGUGUAGCGGAAGUGAUCAACUCAGAAGAAGCAAUUCUAGGUACGCUUGACAUUAUGACUUAUCCGGGGAAAGUUCUGUUUGAUACCGGGGCAACGACGUCAUUUAUCUCAAAAGAAUUCAUAGACGCGUAUGGGCUUACGUGUAGAUUGUUAGACCGACCUAUUACGAUUAUGUCUGCGGGAGGAACAGUAUUAGUAAUGCGGCAACGUUUAAAGCAAAUCCUUAUGAUUUGCGGAUACGAGUAUUUCGUGGAUCUAUUCGUUAUACCGAUGAGCGAUAUAGCAAUCAUUCUGGGAAUGGAUUAGUUAGUAAGUCAUGGAGCUCAAAUAGACUAUGGUGAGAACACGGUAGCAAUUAAGAAUCCAACUAGAGAGAAAGUUGUGUAUCAAGGAGACCCGAAUGCAAGAUUAGAGGCAGAAUUACAGUUGAAUUCACUCAAAGAGGUCAGAAUAGAGGAUAUCCCAAUCGUUAGAGAAUUUCAAGAUGUAUUUCCACAAGAGUUACCAGGAAUGCCACCUGAUAGAGAAAUAGAGUUCACAAUUGAUUUAAUACCGGGCACAUCACCAAUAGCCCAAGCACCAUACAAAAUGGGGCCAAAGGAGUUAGUAGAAUUAAAGGCACAGAUAGAUGAACUCAAGGAGAAAGGAUUUAUAAGAGAAAGUGUAUCUCCUUGGGGAACGCCUGUGAUAUUUGUGGAUAAGAGAGAUGGAGGUAGAAGGAUGUGUGGGGACUACCGAAAUCUGAAGAAUGUCACUAUCAAGAAUAAGUAUCCGUUACCGAGAAUACAAGAUUUGUUUGAUCAAGCCAAAGGAUCAGGAGUUUUCUCAAAGAUAGACUUAAGAUCAGGAUACCAUCAGAUAAAGAUUAAGGAGGAAGAUAUUCCAAAAACAACAUUUGUCACAAGAUAUGGACACCAUGAAUACUUGGUUGUACCAUUUGGAUUAACCAACGCACCAGCCAUAUUCAUGAAUUUGAUGAACAAGAUAUUUAUGCCUUAUUUGGAUAAGUUUGUCAUAGUAUUCAUUGAUGACAUACUAGUGUAUUCCAAAGACAAAUCAGAUCAUGCAAAACACCUCAGAAUAGUUUUGCAAACACUCAGAGAACACCAACUUUAUGCCAAGUUUAGUAAAUGUGAGUUCUGGUUAGACAGAGUAGAAUUUCUUGGACAUGUAAUUACCAAGGAAGGAAUAGCUGUAAAUCCAGAAAAAGUUCAAAUAGUUUUGGAAUGGCAAGCACCCAAGAAUGUAAAGGAAAUCAGAUCAUUUCUUGGAAUGGCCAGAUAUUAUAGGAGAUUCAUAGAAGGAUUCUCCAAGAUAGCUGGACCAAUGACAAAACUUUUAAGAAAGAAUGUACCUUUCAUCUGGGACAAGAAGUGCGAGAAAUUUUUUCAAGAACUAAAGGAAAGACUGACAGCAGCACCAGUUUUAGCAGUUCCUGAACCAGGAAAGGACUAUACAGUAUAUUGUGAUGCAUCAAAGAAUGGACUAGGUUAUGUGCUAAUGCAAGAUAGGAAAGUAAUUGCAUAUGGAUCAAGAUAGUUACGACCUCAUGAACUUAACUAUCCAACACAUGAUCUAGAGUUAGCAGCAGUAGUUCAAGCACUAAAGAAUUGGAGACAUUUCUUAUAUGGAUCAAAGUGCGAACUAUAUACAGAUCACAAAAGUCUUAAAUAUUUCUUCACUCAGAAAGAUUUGAAUAUGAGACAACGAAGAUGGUUAGAAUUAAUCAAGGAUUAUGACUUGACCAUAAACUAUACUCCGGGAAAAGCUAACGUUGUAGCAGACGCGUUAAGUCGAAAAGCCACGUGCAACAUGUUAGAAGGGAGGAGAAUGCCAAAGGAAUUGCAAAAAGAAGUUGCACAAAUCCAGAAAGAUUACUGGGAAGGAGAACCCCAGAAUACUAUUGAAAUAAUAGAAGCCUUAGCUAAGAUGAAUAUGGAUCUAGAAGGAGAAAUUUUAAAGAGGCAGAAAGAAGAUCUGUUCAUAGUUGAGGAAAUCCGUAGAAUUGACGAAGGAAGGUCAUCCAUGUUUGAACUCCGGGAGGAUAAUUCAUUAUGGUUUCAAAACAGGAUCUGUGUACCAGAUAUUCCUGAGAUCAAAGAAUUAAUUUUCAAAGAAGCACACCAAACACCUUACUCUAUACAUCCAGGAAGUACAAAGAUGUAUAUGGACCUAAAGGCUGUAUUUUGGUGGAACAAUAUGAAGAAAGAAAUAGCGAAGUAUGUUUCAAAAUGUCAUACUUGUCAGAGAGUUAAAGCCGAACAUCAGAGUCCUGCUGGAAAACUACAACCCUUACCAAUUCCCAAAUGGAAGUGGGAAGAUAUAGGAAUGGAUUUUGUUACCGGAUUACCUAUGACCAAAAAUCACAAGGAUAUGAUCUGGGUAAUAGUUGAUCGGUUAACAAAGAGUGCACAUUUUCUAGCAGUAAAUCAGAAAGACAGUUGUGAAAAACUUGCCGAAAUCUAUGUCAAUGAGAUUGUCAGCAAGCACGGUGUACCAAAGAGAAUAGUAUCAGAUCAAGGAUCAAUCUUUACAUCAGCAUUUUGGAAGCAUCUGCAAAAAGCUUUAGGAACCCAAUUAGACUUUAGUAUUGCAUACCAUCCACAAACUGGAGGACAGACAGAAAGAACAAACCAAAUACUUGAAGAUAUGUUAAGAGCUUGUGCUUUAGAUUUUGGUGGAUCAUGGCAUGAACAUCUACCAUUAGCAGAGUUUUCUUACAACAACAGUUACCAAAGCAGUAUCAAAAUGGCACCUUUUGAAGCACUUUAUGCAAGAAAGUGCAUAUCACCUGUUUGUUGGUCUGAAGAUACCGGAAGUAAAGAAUUUGAGACAACAUACAUCGGAGAUCAACGGCAUGUGAUUGAUAUCAUCCGAGACAGAUUAAAGAUUGCUCAGAGUAGACAGAAAAGUUACGCAGAUUUGAAAAGAAGAACAUGGGAACCCCAAGUCGGAGAUAUGGUAUAUUUAAGAGUCAGUCCAACAAGAGGAAUUAAGAGAUUCGAGGUUAAGGGGAAGUUAAGUCCUCGAUACAUUGGGCCAUUUAAGAUAUUAAGUCAGAAAGAAACAGUGGCCUAUGAGCUGGAAUUACCGACACAAUUAUUUCAAGUUCACAAUGUAUUCCAUGUUUCGCAACUCAGAAAAUGUUUGAAAGUACCGAAAGAACCCUUGAGCUAUACAGAGCUAGAAUUGAAAUUACAUUUGACCUAUGAAGAGAAACCAACCAAAAUUAUUGGUGAAAAAUGGAAGUAGCUUAGAAAUAGAGCGAUAAAGUAUUGUAGGGUGCAGUGGAAGCACCAUCCCGAGAGAGAAGCCACGUGGGAGAAAGAGGACGAUUUACGAAGGGAUUAUCCUUAUCUCUUCAGGUACCAAGUUCCGGAAACUUCGGGACGAAGUUCUUAUAAGGGGGAGAGGAUGUAACAUCCCGACAUUUAGGGUCGGGAAAAACUGGGUAGCUUAAGAUUGUAGAUUUGCAUUCUAGUUUUGAAAAGGGUGAAUUUGCAAAAACUUAUUUUGCUUAGGUUCAAAAUGUGAAGUUUGACUACGGAUCAAAUUUUGAACUCUAGAAUUUGAAUCAAAUUUCAAAUUUGAAAAUUUUGGACUUAGCCAAAAUUUGAAAAUGGGGAUAACAAAAAUUAUUUUGGCAUCAACUUGAUUGUUUAAGUUAUUGUGCUUGAUUGUUAGUUCAUAGGAGUUGUUUGAACUCAAAGUGAAAUUCAAAUUUAAAAUUUGAAUUAUUUGAGAUAAUUAUGAUUAAAAGAUGAACUUUGAUCAACUAUUAAAAAUCACCUACACCUCACAAAAAUGUGAAACAAGUUGCAAUGGAUAGAUAAUAAUCAUCUUUAUUGCAUACUAUUUUUACAUUACAAGAAUUGGAUCACAAUCUGAUCACAGAAAAAUAAAAUGAAAAAUACAUCAAAAAUAGAAAAUGGAAGAUCCUAUUCUAGCCUAUUCUAUCCUAUCUAGUCUUUUGCUCCUUGUCUUCAUCUUGAAACCUGAAAUGCACAACAACAAAAGGAAGCAUAUUGUUAUUGUUAAAAUGUUUGGUUGGUCUAAGACCAACCAGUUAAUGUGGAAUCCAUAGGAUUAAUUCCAAAAACUUGUUUUGGAAUUAAAAUAGCCAGGGCAUGGCAAAUAAUUUUAGAAGAUCAUUUCCAAACCCAAUUGAAACCAGAACAUUAGUGACAAUAAAAAUAAGCAAGUAGACCAUCUAAAUGAUCUAGUAAAAUCUAAUUGUGAACAUUGAAGAAUUGAACCAGUAGUAGAACAGUAGGUUUAGAACAUCACAACAUUCAUAAAUAAAUACCCAGAAUAUCAAUAUCAUCAAGGAUUAGCAAAAACCACUGAUUAGCAAAUGAAGUGCCCUGACUUGGAAACCAUUUUAAGAAUAGCAUUUAGCAAAAAUUUGAUCAUGCAAAGGAUCAUGUCCUUGCUAAUCAAAAUUAGCAAGUGAUUAACAAAUGCAACCAAUAAAAGUUUAACUUGAACACAGUAUUAACAUCAGUGCGUUGCACUGGACACAUCAGAACCAAAAUCCACAAUCAAAAGUCAGUAUACAACAAAGUCAUUAAUAAACAGAUUAGUAGAUUCAUGAAAAUCAUGUAUCUGCACUAGAAACCAAAAUAUAAGUCGGUUUGGAACAGUGCUCCAACCCCAGCCUAUAAAUACCCCCUCCCACAACACAUUUCACUCACAAAAAUCUCAAAGCAGCUCAUAAAAACACCUUAGGGCCAGAGGCUAAAGGUUGAGCCCACAAACUCCAUAGCUUGAAAGCUUGGAGAGAGAUUAAAAGGGAAAGCUCACUUGUGAGUAGCCCACACAUUAGAACACACCAGUAGUAUAGCUAGAGGAAGAAGAAGAAGGCAAGAUCAGGGGAAGAAAGGAGGUGCUGCCCAAAUCUACAUCAAG
rnacentral:lncRNA from 1 species